rnacentral:rRNA from 1 species
GACGUAGGGUGCGAGCGUUGUCCGGAUUUCUUGGGCGUAAAGAGCUCGUAGGCGGCUCGUCGCGUCGACCGUGAAAACCCGCAGCUUAACUGCGGGCUUGCGGUUGAUACGGGCGGGCUAGAGUUCGGUAGGGGAGACUGGAAUUCCUGGUGUAGCGGUGAAAUGCGCAGAUAUCAGGAGGAACACCGGUGGCGAAGGCGGGUCUCUGGGCCGAUACUGACGCUGAGGAGCGAAAGCGUGGGGAGCGAACAGG